rnacentral:misc_RNA from 1 species
GAUGAAGAACGCAGCGAAAUGCGAUACGUAAUGUGAAUUGCAGAAUUCAGUGAAUCAUCGAAUCUUUGAACGCAUAUUGCGCUCUCUGGUAUUCCGGAGAGCAUGCUUGUUUGAGUAUCAGUAAACACCUCAACUUCCAUAUCUUUUUUGAAAUGGGAGUUGGACUUGAGUGAUCCCAACGCUUUUCCUCACCGAAAAGUGGCGGGUUACUUGAAAUGCAGGUGCAGCUGGACUUUUCUCUGAGCUAUAAGCAUAUCUAUUUAGUCUGCCUAAAAAACAGAUUAUUACCUUUGCUGCAGCUAACAUAAAGGAGAUUAGUUCUUGUGCUGACUGAUGCAGGAUUCACAAAGACAGGCUUCGGCCGACUUUGUAAACUCGAUCUCAAAUCAAGUAAGACUACCCGCUGAACUUAAGCAUAUCGAUAAGCGGAGGA